CGUUCUCCAAUCGGAAGAGCUGCCUGACCGCCUCCCCCAGCGAUUCCGAGCCGCCCAGCCUGGAGUACUCUGACUGCCGCCAGACGCCUCUCUAUCUCCGACAAUUGAGGGGGAAUGGGGAACCAGCCGGGGGGGGGGGGAGGGUCCCACGCCGACCCUGCACCAAGUGAAAAGAUUCCCUGCUAAUUCAUAUGAGGACUCAUACAAGAUUUCACAUGAAUCGAAUCUGGUUAUACUAAGAAAAAUCACGGUAUCUGUUUUUAAAAAAACAUCAGUAAGUUGCCAUUUUAAAUCCGUAUUUGCCUCAUUGUUGUCACUUUGACACUCACCAUACACCACUGACAGACUGCACAGAUACAAAAGGACUAGGAAGUUGUAAACAAGACCUCAUAGGUGUGACUGCUAUAGAAAGCACAUUUGUUUCACCAAUGCUUAGGUUGCAUCUAGUCCCUGAAAUCAAGAACAUAGAUGCCUGAUUUUUAUGACCUUUGUUAUGUCUCUCUAUACCUACCACAAUGUAGGUAUGAUCACCUGUGCUUAUGUUAAAAGCCAGUCUGUUUUCCUCACUUUCAGUUUUCUGAACCUUAAUUUUAGUGGGUUUAAUUUUUAUCUCCUAAUUUGGCUUGAGAAAUACAUGGGUGCCAGUUAUAGGAACUACAGAGGUGACAAGCUAUUACAUACAGAUUUGAUUUGAAGUGUUUUCUGGUUAAUUCAACGGAAACAGGUUUAACAAAGCAGAGUUUUUAUGGAUUAAGGUGGACAGCAAGACUUUCAUAUUUUUCUUAAAACUGACUAUAAACAUAUGCAGAAUGCCUUUAAAUUGAUAUGAUUCCUUCAUAUGUCUUUAUAAUGCCAAGCUUUAUGGCCCAAAUUAUUGUGACAUGUAAUGCCUUUGUAUAAUUAUACUUUCCAUGUAAGAAGGGCACAUGAGUGUAGGAAGCAAGAAGCAAUGGUAAAAUGGUUAAAAGUUCCAAUAUUUUAUUGACAUAUUUGGCUUUGUGAUUGAUGCAAGUGGCAUAAAGCUGCUUGAAACAUUUUUUCAGGUAUAAAAAGAGCUGUACAUUGUCUGGAAAAAAAGGCCUUCUUGCUAAAUUAAUUUUUACUUGUGUUAAAUGUAAGGCUGAAGUGUUUUUUGUUAAAUCCAUUUAAGAAUACUUUUGCUUCUAAAAUGCAGCUGUAGAUUUUUGUUAUUAGCUCAUUCUGAAUUGAUGCAUCAAAGCAUUGAUAAGUUAAAGAAAUUUUGAGAUCAACUUAAAGAAGAUAAUAAUCAAGGCUUAGGUGGCAUGUUUAGUUGGCUUAAUAUGUUUAGUAUAGUACCCUAGUUAAAGAAAGCAUUUAGAGUAGUAUUAAUGGGCCUAUUUGUAUUUUUUGUAUUAUGCUUUGUAUUCUCUGUUUAUUAUCUUGUAUACAAUGCGUGGUUAAUUGCAGUUUUGUGCAAAGCCUCAAUCUUGCAGCUUGAAAACAAAAAGGGGGAGAUGUUGGAGUAUAAAUUCAUUAUGACACAGCAGAGAUAAGAAAUGAUCUUAGCCAGAAACCAUGGGAUUUAAACAAAGACAAGGAAAGUCUGUUUACAUUCAUUGCCUGAAAUUCUUACAUUAUCUUUUAAUUAAGCAGACUUGUAGGCUCCACAGGUAAAUCCCUUUAUCACUUUGUUUGCCCCAUCUGCCUUGUGAUUGUGAUAAAGAAAUAUCUGUUUAUCUGUUUGAAGAAAAAUAUCUCCCUGUGUUUCCUGACCUUUAACCCCAGCUAUGAAUGGAAUGUUUGUCUCUCCUUCCCAGAACCCUAUAUAUACCAAAGUUGUGAUGAAUAAAGCAUUCAGUUUUGUACAUGCAAA